CCCGCCUUAUAAGGCCGGAACCGCUGGUGCGCUUCUUGGCAGAACUGGUCGCUGGCGCCCGCCGUAGAGGCGGAGGGUGCGGCGGAGCGAAGGGCCGCUUUCGGUGCCGGCAGAGGCAGAAGGUGGGGUGGGGUGCACGGCACGAGGCGUGCAUUCACGUGUAAGGGGAGCGGGGGGAGCAGCGCCUCGGCCAAGACCACGGGGCGGUAGACUUAACACGGUAGCUCCCCUCGUAUGCCGCUUUACCGCCAACGGCGCGAGGACGCGGCCCCCCGCGAGAGCAGCAGCACGGCGGUACUACAAAUAUAGGCAACGGAAGAGAGGAUAAUACUAGAUGUAGGGAACCAGUUAAGACGGUUAAAUUUUAAAACCUCCCCGUUGGUGUUGAGACCCUUCAAACUAAAGUGACUAUACUGCGUAGGAGUAAAUACCAUAGGCUUACGGGCUCUUUUCUUCGCGUUACAUAAAAACGUACAACCAGGAUGUUUAUCACCCUUUUGUGUAUUACGGGAGUUUGCUAAUCUUCGUUCGAGAAGUCCACACAUGACACCUGGAGAUUCUAACAAUCGUGCCCUCCAUCGUCUUUCUAAUUUGUUUCGAUUACAAGGGACAUUGAACUGAUGACCUGUUCUUUCCCUUCUUUAACUUCCACGUUUCGUAUCGAGUCACUGCCAACUCUACCGACUACACUGCUGACUCAUAGUCACGCGACAAUAACUACUUUAAGUCUACCAACCGACAUCUUGUUCCCCAACAAGUAAAUGUGCACGUGACGACCCCGAAACAAGUCUACUCGAAGUACAAACACCACUGGGUCGACAACAGGGAUAAUAAGUCGCUAACGAACUUCGAUGACUACUACACCAAUGCUAAGUUAUAAUACUCUCUGAUAGAGGAAACCAAGGAAACUUCAGAUGUGAACCCGGAAAAAGUUUGUAGUUCCGUCCCCUAACGUACCAUUGCAAGAGUGCCGCACUCUAUAUAUUCGAAUUCUCUUUUUAACUUUACCGCCCUUUAGUAGAAACGAGACAUCAGAUACCGAGUAAUGGUGGUCUUUGAGCUUGCUUUGUCCGCUGUUACAAGUUACUACUUCGGUCACUGGAAUUACACGAUCACCGAUCGCUACGAUAACCUUACCCAGAAUUAGACUUGUAAAGAUCUUAAUAAAAGAGAUGUGACUUCUUCAAACUACCAUAGACGUGGUCCCUCGACUGACACGGACUCUAGUUUGUCUAACGUCCGUCUCGACCCUCUAUACCCAGAUUUAAGGGUCAACCGCUUCACUGGACAGAUCUACGACUUCUAGAGGGCAAUGAUGUGAGUAGGGACUUCAGUGGAAGAGGGUAAUAUCUCGCACGACCUGAAAAAGGGUGUAAACUAAAUAACAGGCACAUAAGUGCUAAUGUACCUUGACUGAAAGAAGUGGGAUAUAACCUUGCAAAGAACCUGUUCCGAUUUGACAGAGGCCUGAUAAAAUAACGGCUAACGCUUCUAUACGACUUUCAACGACGAUAACAACUACUCAACGGAGAACGCAACGCACUAUUCAUGUAGAAAACAGUUUCAGGUCACCUACACUCCCUACUAUAUAGAUGAGUUCCUAAUUGUGUCAAACGUCUUUUAAUACGUUUCUUUCCGUAUCAAGCCGAAUUUCUUUAUAAAUGUGGACCUUGUGACGCCCACGGAUGUUGUGUGUUAGUUGAGGUCCUCGAACUUAGCCAAGUGUUCCAGGAUCUCAACAUACACACCAAUUCGAUGUCUAAACUGCUGAGAAAGGGUCUAGCACUUAACCGCCGAAGGGUUUUCAGUUAUACGUCGUACAACUAACUUCUUAUGGAACUCUCCAGUCCUACCGUCGUUGUUCCUGUUUCUUCCCAAAACGCAUGAGGUGCCUUUUACGCGGCUCUUAUACUACGCAAUGUUAACGCGCCUAUAAAAGCUCUUUAACUGCGUUCUAGUUUUAUCUCCGACUAAGUUCUUUGUUGUGGAGUGGUAUAAACCAGUUAUAAACUCGUUUACAGGUCCCUUACGUAGACUGAUAGGAUGACCUAUACACUUUACACUAGUGACCGUUCGUCGCUAUUUUACUGUGGACACACCGUCUUCUAGAUGAACCUGAGCGGAAAGUUACGGUAACUUCAACUGGAAUGCAUCAGUUACACCGUCGUGUAUUAUAAUAAGAGGUAGGUACUCUAAACAUGAUGAAGGAGACAAGUGAAAAUAUUCUGGAACUUCUGUAAAGUCUGUUACAUGUUUUGUAGGGUAAAACUCAACAGACUUUACUGAAUGUUUUCACUUUCCUCCCUCAUCAAGAAAGUCAUCGUGAAAGACAUUGAUGAUUGAUCACGUUUACCUUAACAUGUAAUAUUCAUUUUGUACUCCACGUCCGUACUUCUUGGUAAACAGUAUAACGUCACGUGGUAAGGUUUAAUAAACUUCAAGAUCGAAACAGGAUUCAACUUGAAGAAAUUCAAACUAAUUAAAGUAAUCAAAGGAGUAUUUUAUUCAAAGGUAUGAUAUACAUAUAAACUACAACAUUUAUAAUCGUGUAAAACGACACCUGUACCAUUUUAAAUA
rnacentral:rRNA from 1 species